rnacentral:rRNA from 1 species
CUGCUGCCUUCCGUAGGAGUCUGGUCCGUGUCUCAGUACCAGUGUGGGGGGCCUUCCUCUCAGAACCCCUACGCAUCGUCGGCACGGUGGGCCGUUACCCCGCCGUCUACCUAAUGCGACGCAUGUCCAUCCUAUGCCGGAUCUCUCCUUUAACCUCCCGGGAAUGCUCCCAAAAGGUGUUACGCGGUAUUAGGCCGGAUUUCUCCGGGUUAUCCCCCUGCGGAGGGCAGGUUGCAUACGUGUUACUCACCCGUGCGCCGGUCGCCGG